rnacentral:rRNA from 1 species
GACGAACGCUGGCGGCGUGCCUAAUACAUGCAAGUCGAACGAGAGCGCCCGGUGCUUGCACUGGUCAAUCUAGUGGCGAACGGGUGAGUAACACGUGGGUAACCUGCCCAUCAGAGGGGGAUAACAUCCGGAAACGGAUGCUAAAACCGCAUAGGUCUUCGAACCGCAUGGUUUGAAGAGGAAAAGAGGCGCAAGCUUCUGCUGAUGGAUGGACCCGCGGUGCAUUAGCUAGUUGGUGAGGUAACGGCUCACCAAGGCCGUGAUGCAUAGCCGACCUGAGAGGGUGAUCGGCCACAUUGGGACUGAGACACGGCCCAAACUCCUACGGGAGGCAGCAGCAGGGAAUCUUCCGCAAUGGACGCAAGUCUGACGGAGCAACGCCGCGUGAGUGAAGAAGGUUUUCGGAUCGUAAAACUCUGUUGUUAGAGAAGAACAAGUGCUAGAGUAACUGUUAGCGCCUUGACGGUAUCUAACCAGAAAGCCACGGCUAACUACGUG